rnacentral:tRNA from 1 species
UUGGCUGAAACCAAGGAGGAGGUAUGCUACUGUUAAUAGUAAAAAUGAAAUUUUUUAAUUUCCAGCUAAA